AAAAAUAACUCUGCUUUACAUGUUCAAACUUGACAGGGUGUCGUUUUUUGGUGUUUGCAUAAUAAAAAUCUGCCUGAGAGGGAAUUAUGUCAAUUAUGUACGCAUGGUAUUUUGCCUGCAGUAGCACCAAAAAUCUUAGAGCCUUCAGACCUCUGCGAAUCAAAGACAGACACACGGCGUCAGCCACCAGGUGAUGUAAAGAAAAGGUUUUGUGGGAAAGUUGACGGAUUUCAAGUUAAGUCAUUUGCCCACAGUCAUGAAGUAAAUCAAAGAAAACACCAAGGUUCACACAAGGCGCAGAGGCUGCCCAGUGGGCUUCCUGGAGCGACUCUGACAUCACUCAACAAUACUUAUGUAGAAGUGGUGCUGGGUCCUGGAAAAUAGCUCUCAAUGCUGCAGGUAGGGAUCAAAAACCUAAGCUGGAGGAGCUCCGGAUAAAAGCACCAAACGGUUAAACGGAUAAAUGCUUCUCACCGAAAUGUAACCCCAUAUGCAUCUUAAAGGCUUCCCUGGUGGCUCAGGGGUAAAGAAUCCACCUGCCAAACAGGAGACGCUGGUUUGAUCUCUGGGUCAGAAAGAUCCCCUGGAGAAGGAAAUGGCAACCCACUCCAGUAUUCUUGCCUGGAAAAUUCCAUGGGCAGAGGAGCCUGGUGGGGCUACAAUCCAUGGGGUCGCAAAGAGUCGGACACGACUUAGCGACUAAACAACAACGUAUCUUACAUCUUCAAUUUGGACCAAAAUGUAAAAGGACUUAACACUGUCUUACACUCCCUCCCCACCCCCACCCCCAAAUCUAAAAUACCCUUGAGCAGAAAAAGGGCAGAAUGACCAUUAUUUCAAUUUGAUAUUCCAAUUAUCCGAUUUGUAUUAUUGGAGAGAAAAGAAUGUGACUUAAAAUAAAACAUUUUGCUCAGGAAAAGCAAGACUGCUUAAAGAACAAAUGUGAAAACGGUAGCGUCUUAAUUGUGAGGGUUCAAGGAGGAGAGGAGCAAUUAGAAAACCUUUCCGGACGGGAAUCUCCGCACUUCUGAAACCUGACAAACACAAGGGGGCAGGCAAGGCUCGAGUCAGGCUUCAAAACCGGCUGCCUGAAGGGAGCUAACCUAUUUUAGCUCGCCCUCCGGAUAUUUAUCAGUUCUCUCGGCAUGCCAAGAACUGUGAUGCUGACAGGCGGGUUUAGUUCGUACUUGGUCUAAUUACUGCGAAGGGAACAGGAACGUCUUUAAUGACAGCUGCCCCAACAGCGGGCUUUGGAAGAGCCUGGGGCUACACUCCCCAGAACUUACUCUUUGGGGCGACCCUCGCGAUUUCGAUCUGACUGCAUUUCUCACCCUUUCCAAAAGCCUCUUUCUCUUUUCGCUAUGAAAUUUGGUUGCAAACCGGGGACUUGUUGAAAUCUCACCAGUCCCGAGAACUGCACCCGUCAUAAUUUACAAGGAGACAGCAGGGGGCGAGGGGAGGCUCCGUCUCCUCUGGUUUUGCUUUUAAUUCCAGCUCUCCUUCUUAUGCAAAGUUGCGCCCGCGUUUCUCCCUUUACUGCCCUGGGUUUUGAUUCAAACUCCAGCCACGUUGCUUCUAACUUGCCUCUUGGGUUUGCAAAUUGCAGAGAGAAAUAAACAUUCCUUGAACGGGUUCCCAUUGG
rnacentral:lncRNA from 1 species